GGAUUCUAUGACAUCACAGCUAUUACACUGUAGCUACGACAACAAGUUAAGGGGGUCUACAGAAGAGAGCUUUGAUCCAGCUCAGUGUGAUAAGUUGUACCAGUAAGAGGACACAGAGAGAUGAGGCUUUCAUCAAGAGGGGGAACAGCAAGGAGGAGACAGCAAGAAAAGCAACUGGAUAUACAGUUGGACAGAGAGAGCUCUGACGUUUAGCACAGGAGGUUUCACAAACAUCUUCUGUGGCAUAUAUGCUCACCUGGGAAGGUAGACUCCCAAAGCUUUCAAUCUAAAUUGUCCACCUAAAUCAACAAGCUGCCUUCUAGAGCACACAGCUGUUAGUCUGAAGAUCCAGAUUCUAAAGAUGCAAGUCUUGACAAAGACAUACCAAUACUGAAAACUUACAUAUGAUGCCUUGAGAGUGUUACUACCUGAUCCAAGGAGAACACAUAAAAGAGUGCUCUAAAACACAGUCAUUCUUAUUUCUACAACAUCAUCUCCUGCAGAAAGAUAUGGAGAGAAGAGUAUUCAAAGGUAGAUCAUCCACGGACCUGGAAGUUGUUUUCCAGGCCACUCCUUUCAACGUGUGAAAAAACAUGAUUUCAGAUGAAGAAACCCACAGCCCAUAUGAAGAUUUGCGCUACUCAGAUUUCCAAACCUGGCCUUCCCAGAAGAGUCCAAUCCUUCUUCCCUCCCUCUCUCUGUCAAGCUUUCUAUGAGACAAGAUUAAUGUCACUGA